rnacentral:rRNA from 1 species
CCUACGGGUGGCAGCAGUGAGGAAUAUUGGUCAAUGGACGAGAGUCUGAACCAGCCAAGUAGCGUGAAGGAUGACGGCCCUAUGGGUUGUAAACUUCUUUUAUAUGGGAAUAAAAUGUUCCACGUGUGGGCUUUUGUAUGUACCAUAUGAAUAAGGAUCGGCUAACUCCGUGCCAGCAGCCGCGGUAAUACGGAGGAGCCGAGCGUUAUCCGGAUUUAUUGGGUUUAACGGGAGCGUAGGUGGAUUGUUAAGUCAGUUGUGAAAGUCUGCGGCUCAACCGUAAAAUUGCAGUUGAAACUGGCAGGCUUGAGUACAGUAGAGGUGGGCGGAAUUCGGGGUGUAGCGGUGAAAUGCUUAGAUAUCACGAAGAACUCCGAUUGCGAAGGCAGCUCACUGGACUGCAACUGACACUGAGGCUCGAAAGUGUGGGUAUCAAACAGGAUUAGAUACCCGGGUAGUC